UGAUAGUCUUCUCUGAUUGGUCCUCCAGAUCCUGGAGGUGGGUCUUUACAGUGCUCAGUUGUUCUGACAGGUUGUCAGACCUGUCAGUCUGCUCCCUGAGCUUCUUUUGGAGACUGGUUACCUGAAAAAACACAGGAGGUCCUGGGGCAGAGCUGCUGCAGUGGUGCUCGUGAUGCGGUCACCACCCAGUCACGGAAGCUGGGGCAGCAGUGUAAGCAGAGAACACACACAGAGCACCCAACCUGUGGAGGAAACUCAUUUUGGCAUCUUGUCCCAUCGGUCAUGAGUCAGAGCCUAUGAACACAGGCUCUGCUCCUUUACCACGCCAACCACAUUACUGCUGCACUCAGUCAUCUGCUUCUUUUAAACGUUUUAAAUCAUAGUAUCGAUGUCAAGAUUAAAUUUACUCCUGUUUUAAAGUGUUGAAACCUGUAGAAAUCGUUAGGGUCACCUUGUCUUCUUCCUCCAUGGUUGUGUCCUCUUCCUGGUCUUCCUCAGCACCUGCCUCCAGCACCGUUCCAUCCAUCACACUGUCCUGCUCUUCGUCUUCAUCUUCAUCCUCCAGCAGGUCCUCCAGCGUGGUCUCCCAUGCUACCAUCGAGCUCUUCCUAACACGACCAGACACAUUUCUGUGCUGGUCGGCCUGGUCGAUGAUCACCGACAGGUCCAUGGCUGAGCUCUGUGAGGCAUCGUCAAGGAUGGGCCUCGAGUUCAGCACCACCAACUGGACAGAUGACCCCUCAUCAUUAGUUGGGUUGUUGUGCCAAGAAAGCAAAUGAAACCUGAUGUGAAAAACCUUUUGUGCGAGGGCAGAGAACUUGAGGACGUUGAGCGUCUCGUCGAAGCAGGAGGCAUUCUGGUUGAUGUUCACCACCAUAGAGACCUGGCCGGCACCACAGAAGAAGAACUGCAGGAAUGAGGAGCGUUCAGAUCAGCUGUGGAUGUGAGCAUACUUGGCGUUUUGGUUCAGCCUCAUGGCGCUAAUACACUUCCCAAGCGUCAGUAGAGAGCUGUUAAUGUUUCCUGCCUCCUUCAGCCUCUCUCCUGUGUUGUGGGUCCGAGAACAGCGCUCCGAGCCAGCCAGGUCACACAGAGCGAGCCUGAACACACAAAUGGUCGUUGACAUUCACCCUGGCACAGUCGUAUGCUCGUUAAGCAUGCAGUCAGUCUUACUCGCUGAUGCCGAGGACCCUGGGAACUCCAACAUCAUCCACUCUGAGGAUCCUGACGGAGAAGAUGCUGUGGCUGCAGAGAGAGUCACAAGCCUCAUUAGUGUGGUUCUCUCACAGACACCUUAUCAUUAUCCAUCAUCACUGUCAACCCACUGGACAGAACAAGUGGCUCCAACAAUUUACUGUGAAUCUAUACAUCUGUGGCCGCCUCUGGAUCAGACUCACAGCUUCAAAUAGGAUCCAGGCUCUAUGAGCUACACUCUAAUAUCCAACAAUAAGAUGACAAAUGCAUUUAGGAAACAAAUGUAAUAGACAAAGAAAAUUUAAAAGCGGAA